UACGGAGGGUGCGAGCGUUAUUCGGAAUCACUGGGCGUAAAGGGCGCGUAGGCGGUCUGGUAAGUCAGGGGUGAAAUCCCACGGCCCAACCGUGGAACUGCCUUUGAAACUGCUGGGCUUGGAUCCUAGAGAGGGUGGCGGAAUUCCUGGUGUAGGAGUGAAAUCCGUAGAUAUCAGGAGGAACACCGGUGGCGAAGGCGGCCACCUGGACAGGUAUCGACGCUGAGGCGCGAAAGUGUGGGGAGCAAACAGG
rnacentral:rRNA from 1 species